CCUACGGGAGGCUGCAGUGAGGAAUAUUGGUCAAUGGGCGUAAGCCUGAACCAGCCAAGUCGCGUGAGUGAUGAAGGUUCUCUGGAUCGUAAACCUCUUUUAUAAGGUAAUAAAGUGUGGGACGUGUCCUAUUUUGUAUGUACCUUAUGAAUCCGGAUCGGCUAACUCUGUGCCAGCAGCAGCGUUAAUACGGAGGGUCUGAGCGUUAUCCGGAUUUAUUGGGUUUAACGGGUGCGUAGUCGGCAUUUUAAGUCAGAGGUGAAAUGCUGUGGCUCAACCAUAGAAUUGCCGUUGAAACUGGGGGGGUAGAGUGUUGUUGAGGCAGGUGGAAUGCGUGGUGUAGCGGUGAAAUGCGUAGAUAGCAGGCAGAACCCCAGUGGCGAAGGCAGCCUGCCAAGCCAUGACUGACGCUGAGGCACGAAAGCGUGGGGAUCAAACAGGAUUAGAUACCCCAGUAGUC
rnacentral:rRNA from 1 species